rnacentral:rRNA from 1 species
GCUUAAUCGCAAUGUCCUCAAAUCCCCCUAAAAUCCAAAAACCCUUUACCAAUACUGAAUGAAUCCAUAUUCCUAUGGAAAACCUUAUGCUAAAACUAGUAAUAAGAAGAAGAACUUCUCCUAAAUGCAAGUAUGAGCCGAAACGAACAACUCCCCGGCAAUCAUCGUUAAUGAGCCCCUAGUAGCAACAAACCUAGAAAACCCUACUUAAAUUAACGUCAACCUUACACCAGCGCAUUUCAGGAAAGAUUUAAAAAAGAGGAAGGAACUCGGCAAACCACAAACCCCGCCUGUUUACCAAAAACAUCGCCUCCUGACCCCAUAGGAGGUCCAGCCUGCCCAGUGACAAAGUUAAACGGCCGCGGUACCCUAACCGUGCGAAGGUAGCGCAAUCACUUGUUCUUUAAAUGAGGACUAGUAUGAAUGGCAUCACGAGGGUUUCACUGUCUCCCCCUUUUAAUCAAUGAAACUGAUCUUCCCGUGAAGAAGCGGGAAUAAACAUAUAAGACGAGAAGACCCCAUGGAGCUUUAAACCCAGUAUCAACUACACUUACUACACCACACAAGAUUAGUAGACGUGACACCUGGUUUUCGGUUGGGGUGACCACGGAGCAAAACAAAACCUCCAUGAUGAAAGGAAUCUAUUCCUAAUCUAAGAGCCACAGCUCAAGAAUCAACAAACUGACAUUAAUUGACCCAAAUAUUUUGAUCAACGAACCAAGUUACCCUGGGGAUAACAGCGCAAUCCAUUUCAAGAGCUCCUAUCGACAAAUGGGUUUACGACCUCGAUGUUGGAUCAGGGUAUCCCAGUGGUGCAGCCGCUACUAAAGGUUCGUUUGUUCAACGAUUAAAACCCUACGUGAU